CCUACGGGAGGCAGCAGUGGAGUAUGUUGGACCCUGGGCGAAAGCCUGAUCCAGCCAUGCCGCGUGUGUGAAGACGGUCUUCGGAGUGUAAAGCACUUUAAGUUGGGAGGAAGGGUUGNAGAUUAAUACUCUGCAAUUUUGACGUUACCGACAGAAUAAGCACCGGCUAACUCUGUGCCAGCAGCCGCGGUAAU
rnacentral:rRNA from 1 species